AAAGCUAAAGCUUUGAAGAAGCGUUAAACUUUUAAUUUAAAAAUCUUGAUUAACAAGUAGCUUUG
rnacentral:tRNA from 1 species